rnacentral:rRNA from 1 species
CCUACGGGUGGCAGCAGUGGGGAAUAUUGGUCAAUGGGGGAAACCCUGAACCAGCGACGCCGCGUGAGUGAAGACGGCUUUCGUAAUGUAAAGCUCUAUCUGCAGGGAAGAAAAUGACGGUACCUGAGUAAGAAGCCCCGGCUAACUACGUGCCAGCAGCCGCGGUAAUACGUAGGGGGCAAGCGUUAUCCGGAUUUACUGGGUGUAAAGGGUGCGUAGGCGGCUGUGCAAGUCCGGAGUGAAAGGCGGGGGCUCAACCCGGGAACUGCUCUGGAAACUGUACGGCUAGAGUGCAGGAGAGGUAAGUGGAAUGCCUAGUGUAGCGGUGAAAUGCGUAGAUAUUAGGAGGAACACCAGUGGCGAAGGCGGCUUACUGGACUGUAACUGACGUUGAGGCUCGAAAGCGUGGGGAGCAAACAGGAUUAGAUACCCCAGUAGUC